CAACCAAAGAUCUGUAGAAUUGGAAACAUCAGAACCCCCCUUUCUCUGACGAUCCCCAGAGCCGUAUCUCCCUUAUCCCUUCUGUCUUCAGCAGUCAUCAGCCAACCUGGGAAGACUGCCAACAGCUCUUAUGGGUUCUCUUCACUUCAGAGGAGAGAAACUGCAUCCUGGGAGAGGCACUGCGCCACAUCCUGGCCGAGAUGGCCUCCCUACAGCAGAUCAGGAUGAAAUCGAGACCUGCUGGGAUCCCUUCUACCCCUCCAGCAGUCUCUGCAGUUCUUCAAUUUGUGCUUCCGGAUCUCCACCAAACGGUUCGCACCGCUAAGAGACCUGAACCUACAGGCCGGCACUCUGACAGACUUGAACCCGGAGACUGGAUGUGGGUCAAGAAACACACUGAUUGCAGUCUCAAGGAAAAGUGGACCAGACCAUACCAGGGCAAAGUCAAAAUCGCUGUUUCUAUCGAAGAUGAAGCCAGCAAAGACCUGCCUCCGGCCACCCUGCUCUUUAGGCCAGUUCGUCGGUGUGUUUACGGAGCCCUGUUUAGUCCGGCAGAAAACAGAAAGGAAACGGAGAGACUUGCUUUCAGAAAGAACAGACUUCCACCGGAAUGUAUGCACGGUAACGGUCCGUUGUUUGUUUACCUCAGUACCUCGUCAUCUCCUGUGCAUUUUCUAAAGCCUUAGGAGAAUCGUGACUGAGUUGCCUGAGACCCUCCUUGUCAGAAGGUGGGCUGUCCUUGGGUCAGUAGGCCAGGAUAGAGCCCUCAGGACAGGAAGAGAAAGCAGACAUUCUUCCUCAGUACCGGUCCAGUAAUGGUGUUUGUCCAGUAAAAUAAUUAAACAGCAGGUUUCCUUGUUAAAGUCAGUGCUGAUCUAGAAGCAGUUUUGAAUGCCUGUCAUUCUCUGUAAUGACCCUGUCUUAGUACCCAAGAUACAUGUGUGUCUGCCCCAAGCUCAUGAGGCACAGCUCUGUGCUCUCCAGUAGCCCAGAGUUCUGGAGAGCGGGUCCUACGAGGCUCUCAACCAUAGUGGGGUCACCUCAGGACUGCCAUGGUUUAGCUCAUAGUCCACAGUGCGCGCACCUCAGCUCAUGACUUGGGGGAGGUUGGAAAGGCUGGGAAGAACUGUUUGGAAUGCUGGUCAGAGCCGAGUCCACGGUGUUUGUCCUCCAUGAGGCCUGUGUCCUAUUUUGGGAGAACGAUGCUGUUCCUCUUGUCAGUUAUGUCUGCCAAUGUACGAACACAGAAGCCACUGUGCGUUUGUUGGGGGAUACAGAAAAGAUCCUAAAACAUACAGUCUAAGUCAGAACAUUGUGACCCAUUCUUUAAAGCAAGAACCUUUGGUUGUGACUCUGGCUGUGGUGGGGCAAAUGUUGGCAU